CACCACACAAUAUCUCUCACGCUUUAAACCCUCCGACACACCAACAUGAUACAACUCAGAGAGCUUAUAAAGAAGUUUUAGUACAACCACAAGAUCCAUAACUAUCUCACGAUUUGAGAUAAGAAUAAACCCUGAAAGGGAGGCUUCUAUUAUGGGUGCACAAAAAGAUUGGCUAACUUUUCCUAUUUUGAAGAUUGAAAACUCUAAUAUAAAGUGGGAAAUGCAGAAGCUAUUCUAACUAAUGGGAUAAUAAUCUUGCUAGUCUAUUAUUAUCCUUUUCUUUUUUCAUUUUUUUAUUAAUGACGCAGCAUCAUGUUUGAGAAAACAUAUUAGGAAGCGACCUCAAUUCUUAUUUUCUUCGUUCCAACAUUUUCUGGCAAUGAAAACGAUAACAUAACCUCCGAAGAUUGUUUCCGUUUUUGUCACCUUAGCCGGCUUCGAUACAUUGGAGCCAAUAAGAUGAGAAAAAUUAAGCCGAGCUUUUCGGCAGUGCAACUUAAAAGCCGCUCGAUCAUAAGCCACUGCUGCAUCCUCCGACGUCUCAUAUGUGCCCAGCCAAAGUCUUCUGCCUUUCUCCGUGGGAUUCCUUAUUUCUGCCGCAAACUUCCCCCACGGCCGCCGCCUCACGCCUCUGUCGCACGUUGGUUCCACGUACAGAUUCCGACUCUUCUGCUACAGUCCCAUCACAGCAUAAAUUAUCAUCAAAUAUUAGUAUUCCUUGAGGGCAUUCUGCAAGAAAUGAACUGUUGAAGCCGGAAUUUUGGCUGUAAAUUUGUUCAUUGCAUGAACUUAUUUUUGUAAAGUUGUCAACAGGGAAAUCAUCAGAAUCAUUUAAAAGAUAAUUUUGUAUGGACUGAAGAAGGGCCAUGUCCGAAUCUGAAAUGGGUUUAG
rnacentral:lncRNA from 1 species